rnacentral:rRNA from 1 species
UGAACGCUGGCGGUAUGCUUAACACAUGCAAGUCGAACGGCAGCAUUUUAAAACAUUUCGGUGUUUUAAAGAUGGCGAGUGGCGGACGGGUGAGUAAUGCAUAAGAAUCUACCUAUUAGUUGGGGAUAGCCUGUGGAAACGCAGGGUAAUACCGAAUGUUUUUUUAAAUAUAGAGUUUAAAAAUAAAGGUGGCCUUUCGGGGCUGUCGCUAAUAGAUGAGCUUAUGUCAGAUUAGCUAGUUGGUGGGGUAAAGGCCUACCAAGGCAACGAUCUGUAGCUGUUCUGAGAGGAAGAUCAGCCACAUUGGGACUGAGACACGGCCCAGACUCCUACGGGAGGCAGCAGUGGGGAAUAUUGGACAAUGGGCGAAAGCCUGAUCCAGCAAUACCGCGUGUGUGAAGAAGGCCUGCGGGUUGUAAAGCACUUUCAGUAAGGAAGAAGAUGUUUAUUUGAUAAGAAUAAAUGUUUGACGUUACUUACAGAAGAAGCACCGGCUAACUCU